AAGAAUCAGGAUUAAUAUAAUCUAAAAGUAUGAAAUACUUGUCUUUAGACUUUUCUCUAGCAAAGAGGAAGGAGAAAAUACAAAUUUGAAAUUUAGGUAAUCUAGACUGAGGAAGGGGCAUGUGCCAAUGCCUGGUGUGUGAAAAUGGCAGUAACAAGUAGUCCAAAGUAAAGGUUCAUCGGAUGUUACCAAAAUGAACUUAGUCUUGGCUAAUAAAUGCAGUGUGACCCACAUAAAAGAAAAUAUAAAGUUGAGGACCAGUACCACCAACUCUGAAGCCCUUGGAAUUUUCUGGGAGCCUCCGUCUGCCUCCUCAUCCUCUGCUAGUCAACAGUUUGGCAACUUAUGAAGGGACCCAGAGCAGUCUUCUCUCCUUUGCCUGAACUCUAUGAGGAACCAGAGUCUGGUACCAGCAGAGGCCUCUUGUGCCCAUUCACCUCCCUCAGAGAGUCUAGACGAAUUUGGGUGAGUCUCUCUUCCCUGGCUCUCGGCUCUCCCAUAUUGGUUGAUAUCCUGAGUUUUAUCUGGCAGUAUGUAACAGUCCUUGGCCCCUCAGGUGAAAGACACUGUUGAGGGGUAUGCCCACCCAGCUGAAAGAUACUAGGGAAGGCGCCCACCCCGUUGAAAGACACUGAGCUGUCUGGGCUGAGUGGUUAGGUAGAAGGCUGAUCUGACACCUCUCCUGAAUUUGGCUGCCUUACUGAGUUUGUUGGGAUAAAAGUGAAGAUAUUACACGAGAGCUUUGCUCUGAAGAAGGAGGAUAAGACUGCUUCUGGUUGGUUACGACUUUCUCAGGAAACUGAGAAAUUUAUGGGAGUGGUGGAGGCAGAAUCCUCACACUGUGCAGUGGUCCCACAGGGCAACCUGUCUAUUAAUUAAAAGACGUGCUCAUCCAGGGAUCAUGUAUAAGAAUUGGCCAUUCAAUGAUCUGAGUACCAACGGUGGUCUUAGACGACCAAAGGGAGAAACUGAGACACGUAAGAGGGCUGCGAUGACUCUAGAGCGGCGUCUAGAGGAGUUAAGCUCACAAGCAGCACACUGGCCCACAUACAAUCUCAUUAGUAGAUUUUAUCCCCAACAAAUUCAACUUUAAGAUGGGAAAUAGAGCUCUCAAACAGAAACAAGGGGUGUCAGAAAGCCAACCUCUGACCAACGCCCCAGCCAAGUUUAUAAACAAAACUUACUCUUACAAGCACUUACCUAAUUGGGCAUUAAAGGAGAAUCUUGCCCAGAAAAUGGCCAAAGUGGACUCUAUAGCAGACACAGUUGUUAGAGAAAGCUGGCAUGAUAAGACACCUUUCCAGAAUUCUGACCCUGAGGGAACAAGUCUUUCUAGGAAAACUUGCUUUUCUCUCCCAGUGCCUUGAGAUGUAAAUGUUCUACCAGGGUUCUCAGGAAUACUUACCUAGACUACUGUAAUUCCUGAGACUGAGGGAAACAACGGGGUGGGGGAGAUGAGGCCUUUUCAAAUUUAACUUAUUCCAAAUGUUAUUUAUAAACGAAUGAGUUUUAUAUUGUAAUGCCUAAUUCAUGACUAAAUUUUAAAGUGAAGUUGAGACCUCUGCUUGUGUCUUUCCAUAUGUCUGUGUGCAUUAUAAAUAUGUCUUUACCUUUGGAUGGUAUUAUCAAAAUUAAUUUGGAAAUGAGCUCUACUUAAUUGGCUUAAAGGAAAUUAAGUGCUUAUAUGAAUUCUCAGAAAUAUAAAAGGAAACUGCCAGAAUGAAUUUCAGGUUCACACGAACUGGGAAAUAUUCAUUGUUAAUACCUGGUAUUAAAGUUUGUCAAUUUAAUUAGUAUAGACAUGUCUUUAGAAUCAUCAAUAUUAAGUAUAAUACUUUUACUGUAUCUAGGUUUAAUAGAAGUCAAAUAAGAUCUUAUGUGUGUUGCAGAUUUGUCAGCAAGAAAAAACUUGGUAUGAUUUUUAUUAAAAAAAUGUAAAUGAAGUAAGAGCUUUUGGGUAAAUGUCUUAGGAGUAAUUAUGUUUUAGGAAUGUCUACUUAAAAAUAAUCUCUCCAGAUAUUUGGUAACUUGAAAUUUUAGAGUUGUGCUAAUUUAAAUGAGGAAAGUUUAUUGAAUAGCUAGGUCAUUCCCAAAUAAAAUGAGGUACUGAAACACUAAUUACUAAACAUUGGCUUGUAUUUACAGGGAAACUAAAGAUAUUUAAGACUAUUGAUAAAUAUGUUUGGUACCA